rnacentral:misc_RNA from 1 species
GAUGAAGAACGUAGCGAAAUGCGAUAAGUAAUGUGAAUUGCAGAAUUCAGUGAAUCAUCGAGUCUUUGAACGCACAUUGCGCCCCCUGGUAUUCCGGGGGGCAUGCCUGUCCGAGCGUCAUUUGUACCUUCAAGCUUUGCUUGGUGUUGGGUGUUUGUCCUGAGGGACUCGACUUAAAGUAAUUGGCAGCCAGUGUUUGGUUUUGAAGCGCAGCACAAGUCGCGAUUCAAGGCUAUACACCAGCUUCCACAAGCCUUUUUCACUUUUGACCUCGGAUCAGGUAGGGAUACCCGCUGAACUUAAGCAUAUCAAUAAGCGGAGGA